rnacentral:rRNA from 1 species
CGUGAGAUGUUGGGUUAAGUCCCGCAACGAGCGCAACCCCUAUUGUUAGUUGCUACGCAAAGAGCACUCUAGCGAGACUGCGUUGACAAAACGGAGGAAGGUGGGGACGACGUCAAAUCAUCAUGCCCCUUAUGACCUGGGCUACACACGUAAUACAAUGGCGGUCAACAAAGGGAUGCAAAGCCGCGAGGCAGAGCGAACCCCAAAAAGCCGUCCCAGUUCGGAUCGCAGGCUGCAACCCGCCUGCG